GAUGAACGCUGGCGGCGUGCCUAAUACAUGCAGGUCGAGCGAACAGACGAGGAGCUUGCUCCUCUGACGUUAGCGGCGGACGGGUGAGUAACACGUGGAUAACCUACCUAUAAGACUGGGAUAACUUCGGGAAACCGGAGCUAAUACCGGAUAAUAUAUUGAACCGCAUGGUUCAAUAGUGAAAGACGGUUUUGCCGUCACUUAUAGAUGGAUCCGCGCCGCAUUAGCUAGUUGGUAAGGUAACGGCUUACCAAGGCAACGAUGCGUAGCCGACCUGAGAGGGUGAUCGGCCACACUGGAACUGAGACACGGUCCAGACUCCUACGGGAGGCAGCAGUAGGGAAUCUUCCGCAAUGGGCGAAAGCCUGACGGAGCAACGCCGCGUGAGUGAUGAAGGUCUUCGGAUCGUAAAACUCUGUUAUUAGGGAAGAACAAAUGUGUAAGUAACUAUGCACGUCUUGACGGUACCUAAUCAGAAAGCCACGGCUAACUACGUG
rnacentral:rRNA from 1 species